rnacentral:rRNA from 1 species
UACAGAGACUGCAAGCGUUAUUCGGAUUCACUGGGCGUAAAGGGUGCGCAGGCGGCCGUGUGUGUCAGGUGUGAAAGCCCGGAGCUUAACUCCGGAAUUGCGCCUGAAACUACAUGGCUAGAGCAUUGGAGAGGUAGCGGAAUUCACGGUGUAGCAGUGAAAUGCGUAGAUAUCGUGAGGAACACCAGAGGCGAAGGCGGCUACCUGGACAAUUGCUGACGCUCAGGCACGAAAGCGUGGGGAGCAAAAGG